rnacentral:tRNA from 1 species
UGGCUUAGAUAGUAAAGAACCUGCCUGCAAUGCAGGAGACCCAGGUUCAAUCCCUGG